GCUCAUAACUUUCCAAAGAAUUCUCCUUUUGGGCUUUCUAUGCUUGGUCACAGCCCAAAGGUGAAUUUUUUGGGAAGUUUGAGC